rnacentral:rRNA from 1 species
GAUGAACGCUGGCGGCGUGCUUAAUACAUGCAAGUCGAGCGAAGCACUUUAACGGAAUUCUCCGGAAGGAAGGUAAAGUGACUGAGCGGGCGACGGGUGAAGGUAACGCGUGGGUAACCUGCCUUAUACAGGGGGAUAACAGUUAGAAAUGGUUGCUAAUACCGCAUAAGCGCACAGGGCCGCAUGGCCCGGUGUGAAAAACUCCGGUGGUAUAAGAUGGACCCGCGUCUGAUUAGGUAGUUGGUGGGGUAACGGCCUACCAAGCCGACGAUCAGUAGCCGACCUGAGAGGGUGACCGGCCACAUUGGGACUGAGACACGGCCCAA